rnacentral:pre_miRNA from 14 species
UGUGGGUGUUUGUGUGUGUGUGUGUGUGUGUGUGUGCGCAGGAAAUCCUGCCAUUCGCAACAACACGGACG